AUAGAUACCCGGGUAGUCCACGCCGUAAACGAUGAGUGCUAAGUGUUAGAGGGUUUCCGCCCUUUAGUGCUGCAGCUAACGCAUUAAGCACUCCGCCUGGGGGAGUACGGUCGCAAGACUGAAACUCAAAGGAAUUGACGGGGGCCCGCACAAGCGGUGGAGCAUGUGGUUUAAUUCGAAGCAACGCGAAGAACCUUACCAGGUCUUGACAUCCUCUGACAACUCUAGAGAUAGAGCGUUCCCCUUCGGGGGACAGAGUGACAGGUGGUGCAUGGUUGUCGUCAGCUCGUGUCGUGAGAUGUUGGGUUAAGUCCCGCAACGAGCGCAACCCUUGAUCUUAGUUGCCAGCAUUUAGUUGGGCACUCUAAGGUGACUGCCGGUGACAAACCGGAGGAAGGUGGGGAUGACGUCAAAUCAUCAUGCCCCUUAUGACCUGGGCUACACACGUGCUACAAUGGAUGGUACAAAGGGCUGCAAGCCGCGAGGUCAAGCCAAUCCCAUAAAACCAUUCUCAGUUCGGAUUGUAGGC
rnacentral:rRNA from 1 species